UAUAAUCAGAAAUCAAUUAAGAUUCCUGUCCAAUUGUUCUCAUCUUGAAGUACGCAUCAGGCAGCCGCUAAACAAAAUAAUUUCGCAAUAAAGUGCAAGCAAAAAGUAUAAUGAUUAUUAUCGUAACGCUUCUGUACUGCCUUGCUAGUUUUUGUAGUGCCCGACCUAACAUCGAUAUUGGGCCGCAAAAUGUGGUGACGGUUCCUUCGAACUGUCCCGAAGGACAGGCCUGGGUGAACGGAGAAUGUCGUGACAUUUGGAAAGUUACUGCUGCACCUACCAACGUUGUCACAGUACCAGCUAACUGUUGUCCAGGACAAGUGUAUGUCAAUGGACAAUGCCGUGACAUCUGGAUCAAAGCUCUUCUAGAGCAAAAUUAUGCUAGUGAUUGUCGAUUGGAAUAUAGCGAUAAUUCACCGAAAAAUGUAGUGACUGUCCCACCUAACUGUCGCCCCGGACAACAAUGGAUUAAUGGAUCCUGUCGCGAUAUAUGGAAGAGCGCACCUAACUCGAAAAAUGUUGUGACCGUUCCCCCUAACUGUCCUCCAGGACAACAGUACGUCAAUGGCCAAUGCCGUGAUGUGUGGAAAAGGUAGGUUGCAAAUUCAAUACGAGGCCUUGUCUGAUGUUAGCGAUUCCCACAGAAAUAUUAUAAGUGUUCCUAGCCAGUGUCCUUCUGGGUACAAACCUGAUGCUCUUGGAAAUUGCCGGCCAAUCCUUGCCAAUUUCUAAUUUCUUAAUUACCUAAAUAAAUAUUAAGAGAACCUACCUGCCUAAAAAUUAAACCGUACUUAUGCCUAAUAAAUCCUAUUGAAAGCUA